UUUCAAUUUAAUAUUAAUAUAAUUAUUAUUCUAACAUGGCACUGGUCUUGAAAGGCUUGGGUUAUUGAUGAAAGGUUAAGUACGCACGGGAUCAAUUCGACAAGUCAUCCCAGCAAGUAUACACUUUUUAACAAAAAAGGAAAAAAGAUAGAUACACUUUUUAUAAUAAAUUAAUUAAACUUUGAACCUGUGCAGUCAGAUUUGCAAAAGGGAAAAAUGUAAUUGUCGAAAAACAUAUUUGAAGUUGAUAUUGGUUUCAUUGGUAGAAGGAAAAAUUAGGAGGUGGGAGUCAAAUUGACCCUUGAUAGACAUUAAGGGUUAACAGUAACAUAUACGUUUGAUAACACGGAACUAUUCCUUAACGAUGUAUACGAUCAAAGUCGAGAUAAAUGGAUCGAGAAAUGUAAAGAAAUAAAUAUAGUUUCAGUUAAAAAGAAAGAAAGAAAGAAAGAAGGAAAAACGAAUGUGAGUAAAAGAAAUAACGAUGGUAGACAUUUAUCCUUGUCGGCCUAGACGACUUUAUCUGCAUGCCUGCACGAUCUCGUCGAACUCAAGAGGAAACUAAAAAGAAAUAAAGAAAGAGAUAGAAAAAGAG
rnacentral:lncRNA from 1 species